rnacentral:rRNA from 1 species
AAUUUUAUAAUAGUAUUUCUAUCAUACAUUAGUUUAUACCGAAAGGGAGAAAAAGAAUUAAAUAACUAGUUAGUCGUACUUUUUGCAUAACGGUUCAUCCAAAAUUUCAAUUAUAUAAUUAUACCCGAAAUAAGAAGAUCUAAUUUUUAGUGAGUUAUAGAGUUAUGAUUGUAACAUGUUGCAUUAUGUUAGUAAAACUAAAAAUUAGGGGCGAAAAACCUUCAAUUCUUAAGAUAUCUGGAUGUUUUAGAAAAGUAUUUAGUACUACAGAGACAGGUAGUAAAUGUUUAAAUUUACUACUUAGAGAAUAUUUUAUUUAUUUAAUAUAUAUUUUAGAUUUAGUUUUCCAAUUAAAAUGGUAUCCAAUAAUAUUUUUAAUUUCAAAUCUCUAAAAAUAUAAAACCUAAGUACAUAAUUCAUAGUAGUUUAGUUUAUGAUGAGAUAAGUAAUAAAAGAAAUACAAUAAGAAAAAGGAACUCGGCAAAUAUUUAUACUUCACCUGUUUAUCAAAAACAUAGCCCUAAGAUAAAGUUAUUUAGGGUAAAACCUGCCCAGUGAGGAUAGUCUCUUAAACGGCCGCGGUACCUUGACCGUGCUAAGGUAGCAUAAUCAUUUGACUUUUAAAUGAAGUCUGGAAUGAACGGAUUAAUUAUUGGAGUUAAGCUGUCUCUUUCUUAAUCUAUUUAAAUUACUAAUUAGGUGAAAAGGCCUAAAAAAGACAAAAGACGAGAAGACCCUGAGAGUUUUAAUUAAGAAUUUUUGUUGGGGCGACAAAAGGACAUGUGUUUAGUAAACUCCUUUGUUAUAAGUUUAUAAGUCGAAUAUUAUUAAGAACAGAUAAACUACCUCAGGGAUAACAGCAUAAUCUAAUAUGGGUUUGUGACCUCGAUGUUGGACUAGGAAGCUUAAAGGUUAGCCGCUUUUAAGUUAGGUUCUGUUCGAACUUUUAUAUCCUACAUGAUCUGAGUUCAGACCGGCGUAAGCCAGGUCAGAUUCUAUCUUUUAUAUUGGUAACCUUAGUACGAAAGGACCAGGUAUACAGCUAUAAUAGU